GGAAAACAGAUCAAAUGUUUUAGAGGGUGAGAUAAGCAGAUGUUAAGGCCUAGAAAAGUACUCUGUUUCUGCUCAGUUUGUCGGUCCCAAAUUGACGCGCGCGGCUUUUUUUUCAUUUAGUUUUCUUUUCAAGGGAACGCAUUUUCCAGAAAUGGCGAGUACAUUUGUAGUUUCUUUAAGCCCAUCGAUUGAUUUUUUACGUUU